rnacentral:lncRNA from 1 species
UUAUGAUGCAGGAAGGCAACCGAAUGGAUGGCCACUUUUCGGAGUAGCCGGACCGGGGAUCUACUACCGUCAUAGGAAGGCAACGGAAUGGAUCGCCACUUUCUGGAGCAGCCCGACCUAGGAUCUACUACGGUGUUAGGGCUGUUCUACGUGGGCUACUGGUGCAGUGUGCUUCGCCUGGUCUUCAAAGGCAGGGCUGGACGUUGAUGCCCGUGGCAGCGUGUGAAACCAGCCGGACGUGAUAGUCGCCGGCCAGAGUCAGAUUGGCCACGCAGCCGACUAGGCCCGACUUGUAGCGCCCUCUUGUCACGCCUUAGAUCACGAAGUGGAGGAUCACUCAUACACCCGCAGCGAAAGCCCCAGCUGCUACAGAAGACUAUUGAAGGGACGUUGCAGGAAGGUGUGCAGAAACGACUUUGAUCAACGUUGAAGCUGUCAUCGCACUUACGAAUUAAAUUACGUGUGGCUGCUACUAGUUUCUCUGCGUGAUGAAUUACCGAUGG